GGGCGCGUAGCUCAGUUGGUAGAGCGCUCCCUUUACACGGGAGAAGUCACGGGUUCGAAUCCUGUCGCGCCCACCA
rnacentral:tRNA from 1 species